GCCGAGAUAGCUCAAUUGGUAGAGCAAUAGUUUUGUAAACUAUAGGUCGCGAGUUCGAGUCUCGCUCUCGGCU
rnacentral:tRNA from 1 species